CAAUGACAAAUCCACAUGGACUAUAUGGUAAAGCCAUUAAGCUGAUUAACACCAUGGAAAGAUCGACUUUGGACUACAAACUAUUCAGGACAAUUUCAAGAUGGCUAGCUGAAAUGAUCCAGAUUCAUAGACUACUGAACAAGGACUUGAGACAAGUCCUGCAUUUUCUCAUGCAGAUACUGGACAAAUGAUACAACUCUCUAAGGACUUGACAAUUAACCCAAAAAUUUUCUUUUCAGGAUUCCCUAAAGAUGUCUUCACCCCCAGAAAGCAGGAAAAAAAAGAGAAUAUAGAUGUGAGGUAUAUCAUUGAAUCUACUCGGAGAAAAAAGAUAAAGAAAUAAUAGGAUAAAUGGGUAGAUCAUUGAAUCUACUCUAAA